rnacentral:rRNA from 1 species
AUAGGGAAUAUUGGGCAAUGGGCGAAAGCCUGACCCAGCCAUGCCGCGUGAGCGAUGACGGUCCUCGAGAUUGUAAAGCUCUUUUCUGAGGAAAGAACAUCCGGGGUAGGAAAUGACCCCGGCUUGACGGUACCUCAGGAAUAAGGAACGGCUAACUCCGUGCCAGCAGCCGCGGUAAUACGGAGGUUCCAAGCGUUGUUCGGAAUUACUGGGCGUAAAGGGAGCGCAGGCGGGCAAGUCAGUCUGAAGUGAAAUCCCGGGGCUCAACCUCGGACUUGCUUCGGAUACUGCUUGUCUUGAGUUCGUGAUAGGAAGACGGAAUUCAGGGUGUAGCGGUGAAAUGCACAGAUAUCCUGAGGAACACCGGUGGCGAAAGCGGUCUUCUGGCGCGAAACUGACGCUGAGGCUCGAAAGCGUGGGUAGCAAACGGGAUUAGAUACCCUGGUAGUCC